rnacentral:rRNA from 1 species
AGCUCAAAUUUAAAAUCUGAUAGUCUUUGRCUGUCCGAAUUGUAAUCUAAAGAAGCAUUAUCUGCACUGGACCAUGUAUAAGUCUUCUGGAAUGGAGCAUCAUAGAGGGUGAGAAUCCUGUCUUUGACAUGGACUACCAGGGCUUUUGUGAUAUGCUCUCAAAGAGUCGAGUUGUUUGGGAAUGCAGCUCUAAAUGGGUGGUAAAUUCCAUCUAAAGCUAAAUAUUGGCGAGAGACCGAUAGUGAACAAGUACCGUGAGGGAAAGAUGAAAAGAACUUUGGAAAGAGAGUUAAAUAGUACGUGAAAUUGUUGAAAGGGAAACACUUGAAGUCAGUCACAUUAAUCAGAGAUCAGCCUUGUUUUUUUUACUUGGCGUAUUUUCUGUUUGAUGGGUCAGCAUCAAUUUCAACUAGUAGAAAAAGAUUGAAAGAAUGUGGCAUUUUCGGAUGUGUUAUAGCUUUCAGUCAUAUAUAUUAAUUGAGAUUGAGGAAUUCAGCAUGCCGCAAGGCCGGAUUUUUAAAUCACGUUCAUGCUUAGGAUGCUGACAUUAAUGGCUUUAAUUGACCCGUCUUGAAACACGGACCAAGGAGUCUAACAUGCCUGUGAGUGUUUGAAUGACAAAUUCAAGCGCAUAAUGAAAGUAAAAGUUGAGAUCUCUGUCAUAGAGAGCAUCAAUGCCUGGACCAGACCUUUUGUGACGGAUCCACGGUAGAGCAUGUAUGUUGGGACCCGAAAGAUGGUGAACUAUGCCUGAAUAGGGUGAAGUCAGAGGAAACUCUGGU